CCUACGGGUGGCUGCAGUGGGGAAUUUUGGACAAUGGGGGCAACCCUGAUCCAGCCAUGCCGCGUGAGUGAAGAAGGCCUUCGGGUUGUAAAGCUCUUUCGGCCGGGAAGAAAUCGCUCAAGCUAAUACCUUGGGUGGAUGACGGUACCGGAAGAAGAAGCACCGGCUAACUACGUGCCAGCAGCCGCGGUAAUACGUACGGUACGACCGGUAAUCGGGAUUACGGAGCGGAAAGCAUAAGACAGCUGUGAAAUCCCCGGGCGUAACCUGGGAACUGCGUUUGUGACUGUGGUGCUCGAGUGCGGCAGAGGGGGGUGGAAUUCCACGUGUAGCAGUGAAAUGCGUAGAGAUGUGGAGGAACACCGAUGGCGAAGGCAGCCCCCUGGGUCGACACUGACGCUCAUGCACGAAAGCGUGGGGAGCAAACAGGAUUAGAUACCCCAGUAGUC
rnacentral:rRNA from 1 species